UUGGAACCAAGUUUUCUGCCACAGCCAAU
rnacentral:piRNA from 1 species